CUUGGUCAUUUAGAGGAAGUAAAAGCCGUAACAAGGUCUCCGUUGGUGAACCAGCGGAGGGAUCAUUACCGAGUUAUUACUCCAAACCCUUUGUGAACCUUACCAUUUUGUUGCUCGGCGUACCGCGGGCCGCGGCUUCGGCCCGUCCCGCAGCGCGCCAGAGGACCCAACUCUUCAAUUUAUAGCGUACCUUCUGAUUUACAAAACAAACAAGUUAAAACUUUCAACAACGGAUCUCUUGGUUCCGGCAUCGAUGAAGAACGCAGCGAAAUGCGAUAAGUAAUGUGAAUUGCAGAAUUCAGUGAAUCAUCGAAUCUUUGAACGCACAUUGCGCCCGGCAGUAAUCUGCCGGGCAUGCCUGUCCGAGCGUCAUUUCACCCCUCGAGCCGCUUUUAGUGGAUCGGUGUUGGGGCACUACGGUAAAACGUAGGCCCCGAAAUGAAGUGGCGGUCCCGCCGCGGUGCCCCCAUGCGUAGUAACGUUUAGUCUCGCAUCGGGUCCCGGCGGAGGCCUGCCGUCAAGCCUAUUUAUUCUCAGAAUAGUUUGACCUCGGAUCAGGUAGGGUUACCCGCUGAACUUAAGCAUAUCAAUAAGCGGAGGA
rnacentral:rRNA from 1 species